GAUGAACGCUGGCGGCGUGCCUAAUACAUGCAAGUCGAGCGAACGGACGAGAAGCUUGCUUCUCUGAUGUUAGCGUCGGACGGGUGAGUAACACGUGGAUAACCUACCUAUAAGACUUGGAUAACUUCGGGAAACCGGAGCUAAUACCGGAUAAUAUUUUUAACCUCAUGGUUCAAAAGUGAAAGACGGUCUUGCUGUCACUUAUAGAUGGAUCCGCGCUGCAUUAGCUAGUUGGUAAGGUAACGGCUUACCAAGGCAACGAUGCAUAGCCGACCUGAGAGGGUGAUCGGCCACACUGGAACUGAGACACGGUCCAGACUCCUACGGGAGGCAGCAGUAGGGAAUCUGCCGCAAUGGGCGAAAGCCUGACGGAGCAACGCAGCGUGAGUGAUGAAGGUCUUCGGAUCGUAAAACUCUGUUAUUAGGGAAGAACAUAUGUGUAAGUAACUGUGCACAUCUUGACGGUACCUAAUCAGAAAGCCACGGCUAACUACGUG
rnacentral:rRNA from 1 species